rnacentral:rRNA from 1 species
UACGGAGGGUGCGAGCGUUGUCCGGAAUCACUGGGCGUAAAGGGCGCGUAGGCGGCCUGAUAAGUAGGGGGUGAAAUCCUGCGGCUUAACCGCAGGGCUGCCUUCUAAACUGUCAGGCUCGAGCACAGUAGAGGCAGGUGGAAUUCCCGGUGUAGCGGUGGAAUGCGUAGAGAUCGGGAAGAACACCAAUGGCGAAAGCAGCUCUCUGGGACGGUACUGACGCUGAAGACGCGGAAAGCGUGGGGAGCGAACAGG